GAUGAACGCUGGCGGCGUGCCUAAUACAUGCAAGUCGAGCGAACAGAUGAGGAGCUUGCUCCUCUGACGUUAGCGGCGGACGGGUGAGUAACACGUGGAUAACCUACCUAUAAGACUGGGAUAACUUCGGGAAACCGGAGCUAAUACCGUAUAAUAUAUUGAACCGCAUGGUUCAAUAGUGAAAGACGGUUUUGCUGUCACUUCUAGAUGGAUCCGCGCCGCAUUAGAUAGUUGGUAAGGUAACGGCUUACCAAGGCAACGAUGCGUAGCCGACCUGAGAGAGUGAGCGGCCACACUGGAAGUGAGACAGGGUCAAGACUCCUACGGGAGGCAGCAGUAGGGAAUCGUACGCAAUGGGCGAAAGCAUGACGGAGCAAGGCCGAGUGAGUGAUGAAGGUCUUCGGAUCGUAAUACUCUGUUAUUAGGGAAGAACAAAUGUGUCAGUAACUAUGCACGUAUUGACGGUAACUAAUCAGAAAGCCACGGCUAACUACGUG
rnacentral:rRNA from 1 species